GUCUAUAGCCAUACCAUCCUGAACGCACCCGAUCUCGUCUGAUCUCAGAAGAAGGGGACAAAGUGGGCCCAAGUGUGUGUCUGCGCAGUGCCCCCAGCAACAGGUA
rnacentral:rRNA from 1 species